ensembl:scaRNA
AUGGAGGUAAAGAAAGUGAAGCAAAUGAAGACCAUGUUGCCUUCACUGAUACUCACCUCCAAAAUUAAGUAGCAGAGAGAACAUCCUGGCCUGCAGGGAAAAGCCUUGGAUUGCUGCAUCUGCUUACAAAG